AUGGCUUCGGUUGAUGCCGCCCGUCUGUGUCUGGAGCCCUUCCCACUGCAGCCCUGGUGUCAGUGGGGUGGGCCUCCCCCUCCACGGGAGGCGCCGGGUGCUCAGGGACCCCAGGACCCCAGAAGCGCAAGCAAUCGAAAACAUCGUGAUGAAGUGGAAGAUGAAAAGCUCCCGUUGGCCACCUCGUGGGCUCAGCUCAGGGCAUUAAGCGACUCGGGCUGUGCGCGGUCACCACGGCCACCGCCGGCGACUUCCCACAGGGACGCUGCGUCCCCACCCCCACCUCGCAGAAGGUUCGUCCCGGUCCCGGUCCCGUCCCGGUCCCGUCCCGGUCCCGGUCCCGGUGCGCCGCCCCGCCCACGCCCGUCGCCCGCCCGGGAGGACCUCGCGCGGGUGCAGGGGAAGCGCAACCCCCGCGCGUGCUGCUCUUUCCAGCGGGCCCCGCGGCAGGUUUGUUUUCUGUGCCAACCGGCUGCAGCUGGAGCCAGGGGACCGCAGCUAGCGGAAGUGCCCAGGCUGAGGCCCGGGUGGGCCAGGUCGCCGGGGGCGGGCGGGGAGGAGGGGCUCCGCCGCCACGGGCGCCUCUGGCUGGGGACGCGGGGCCGCGACCGGCGCGGGGAGGGGCGGCUGGCGGGGCCCCGGCGGGGGAACUCCUGGGAACUCCUCCCUGUGGUCUCUCCCCAGGGCGAGCCAAUCAGAAGCGACAAGAGGUGUCACCCUGGGUAGUGCCCCGUGGAUGCGCCGCCCUCAGCCCAGGGCAGCCGCGCCUCUGCGCCUCGCCCGCGCGUCGUGCCUUUCAUAAGGGGGUGGCGGUGGCGGUGGCGCAGGCUGCUGCCGUGAUGGUCCUCGCUGGGAAAGACGCGCGAUCGCCGUCGGGGAGGGAGCGGGAGCCCGCAGAGCCCCCUGGUUGGCGCUGCCCCGCGGGAUCCCCAUCGGAGCUCCAGGAGCCACUCAGCGAGAGACGGGCGGGCGGGGCUGCAGGACGUGCCCCCGGGCGGGAGGAGCCCUGGCGCUGGAGCCCUCCCCCCUCUGCUGCCACCUGGGUCCUGGAAGUGCAGGAGGGAUGCUUGGUGGGGCGCUGGGCGGGCAGGGGGCACCUAGCCCCGCGGAGAGGGGAGACCCCAGACUGGGGACAAACCCGUGAGCCCGACCCCAGAGGGGCGCCGGCCAGUCAGAAGUGGCUCAAGUAGCGGUGGGCCUGCCUCUGCUCCCCGAGCUGCCAGGAGUGCAUUUCCAGGAAGCACAUCCUUUCCCAGGAGGGCCCCAGUGGCCGUGUGGCCUCGCACCAGGGAGUAGAACCCGAGCCAGGGCACAGGCCCGCACUCAUGCUGUGUUCCGGUUCCUGGGCUUCCUGAGCUCCCGCCAGAGCCCGCGUGUCAAGGCCAGACCGGGGAGAGCAGCACAGAAACACUGCCUGCCAGGGAAUACACAGAGCCUCAGAAAGAUUAGCCACAUCAGGUAGGGUGUUAAGUAGCCACGUGGGCAGGGAGAACAGAGUCUGCUUUUCUCCCUCAGAAUUCAGAGAAGUGGAGUAAAGAUUGUUUGCUGAAAGCUGGCCAGUGUAUAACUUUUAAAAUCAGCUGCUGUUGGGCACCUGGGUGGCUCAGUGGUUUAGUGUCUGCCUUUGGCUCAGGUUGUGAUCCCGGGGUCCUGGGAUGGAGUCCCACAUCGGGGUCCCCACAGGGAGCCUGCUUCUCCCUCUGCCUGAGUCUCUGCCUCUCUGUCUCUCAUGAAUAAACAAAAUCUUAAAAAAAAAAAAAAAAAAAGA
rnacentral:lncRNA from 12 species